GCAGGCUUAGCCGAAUGGUUAAGGCUGUCCGCUUAGUAAGCGGAAGAUCAUGGGUUCGAUUCCCAUCUGUU
rnacentral:tRNA from 1 species